AUUGAACGCUGGCGGCAGGCCUAACACAUGCAAGUCGAGCGAGCGGCGGACGGGUGAGUAAUGUAUGGGGAACUGCCCGAUAGAGGGGGAUAACUACUGGAAACGGUGGCUAAUACCGCAUACUAUCGGAUGAACCCAUAUGGGAUUAGCUAGUAGGGGGGGUAAAGGCUAACCUAGGCGACGAUCCCUAGCUGGUCUGAGAGGAUGAUCAGCCCGACUGGUACUGAGACACGGCCCAGACUCCUACGGGAGGUCGCAGUGGGGAAUAUUGCACAAUGGGCGCAAGCCUGAUACAGCCAUGCCGCGUGUAUGAAGAAUGCCUUAGGGUUGUAAAGUACUUUCAGCGGGGAGGCGUUACCCGCAGAAGAAGCACCGGCUAACUCCGUGCCAGCCGCCGCGGUAAUAC
rnacentral:rRNA from 1 species